UCACACAUGAUUUACUUCUGCUGAUCAUUUGAUGUAAACAGGAAAGUUGAUGCAGUUUAAGAUUUUUGGUUUAUGUUGUGGAUUAAAGAAAUUUAUGAUGCUCCUUACUGUGACAAGUGGCAAGUUAAUACUAUGGAUACAGUUAUUGCCGGGCAUAGUCAUGCAAAGCUCCAGACUGAUUGGCACUACCAGGGUAUGAAAAAAGAGGUCCUCAACUUCUUUAAUGCCAAAACACUAACACAGGUGGUUGUAACCAGCUGUGCCAAACCUGUCCCCUUGGCCAAAAUGAUUCCGAGCUGAUUUGGUUGUUGGCUCCUUGUAACCGAGGAAAAAAAACAGUUUGAAAAUCUAAAUGUACAGGACAAAGGAUGUGAGCCAGUUACCCAGGAGCAGUCUACAAAGUCACAAAUGCAGAAAGUGCUGUGUUCUUUGAGAAACAAAAGCUUUCAUACAGAAAAUAACAGGCCUACAAGACUAUCGGUGGAGGCAACACUACCUCAUCAAAUGUUCUUUUUAAACAAACAAGAUACCUCAUAGACUUAAAAAUGCAGUUGAAGGGAUUGUACACCAGAUUGGCAUCAAAAAAAGUUUUUUCUGUAACAAAUCUGAGGAUUGUCUGUAUAAUGGAAUGUGUUAAGCUGUGAUAUCAUAAUUGUAAAAAAGGUACAAAAAUGUAAAAAAAAAAAUUGUGUCGAAGACCGGAUUCAAUCCUGUGUCGCCUAAAUUGCAGUCCACUGUGCUACGAAUGCUUACUCCAAACGAGUAGUAUAUUUAAACUAUAUACCUGAUAUCACGUGAUAGCAUUGAAUAGCCAAUCACGCUUUAGGAAUGAAUUAUACUAGGUAGACAUACCCAGUAAUCUUUUUUAAUGGAAAUAUAUGAAACAACUGCUAAACUUAAAUAAAAUUGUAAACUAUGUGGUACUUCAGUUGAUAAGUUUCAAUGCAUUGUACACAUAAAUACCAAGUAUAUGUCAGUUUUCGACAAUUUUCUUUUUUUGUUGCAAAUUAAUCAUCUGGUGCACAGUUGCUUUAAAGAUGUUACUUGUCCUUUGAAAUGAAGAAAUGUUAAUUUCCAUAUUAUUAUUAAAAUAGUUCCUCAUUUGAUAAUUUGUUUUAAAUCAAUGGUGAAUGAGAUCAUUGGUAAUUUAUUAAAUCCAAAGUAUACAUUUUUUUUGGAACGAUUUCAUUGAAUGAAAAUUAAGCAUUACAUUCAUUAUAAACUUAUUAACUUUUUUUGAGUUUAGGCCGUUCUUUUUUUAAUGAAUUGGUUAAUGGAUCUACCGCCCAAUUAUUUC